UACGAAGGGUGCAAGCGUUACUCGGAAUUACUGGGCGUAAAGAGCGUGUAGGCGGCCAGACAGGUCAGCUGUGAAAACUCGAGGCUCAACCUCGAGACGUCGGUUGAAACCGUCUGGCUAGAGUCCGGAAGAGGAGAGUGGAAUUCCCGGUGUAGCGGUGAAAUGCGCAGAUAUCGGGAAGAACACCCGUGGCGAAGGCGGCUCUCUGGGACGGUACUGACGCUGAGACGCGAAAGCGUGGGGAGCGAACAGG
rnacentral:rRNA from 1 species